rnacentral:rRNA from 1 species
AACGAACGCUGGCGGCAGGCUUAACACAUGCAAGUCGAACGCCCCGCAAGGGGAGUGGCAGACGGGUGAGUAACGCGUGGGGAUAUGCCCAGAGGUGGGGAAUAACUGUGGGAAACUACAGCUAAUACCGCAUAAGCCCUUCGGGGGAAAGAUUUAUCGCCUUUGGAUUAACCCGCGUCAGAUUAGCUAGUUGGUAGGGUAAUGGCCUACCAAGGCGACGAUCUGUAGCUGGUCUGAGAGGAUGAUCAGCCACACUGGGACUGAGACACGGCCCAGACUCCUACGGGAGGCAGCAGUGGGGAAUAUUGGACAAUGGGCGCAAGCCUGAUCCAGCCAUGCCGCGUGAGUGAUGACGGCCUUAGGGUUGUAAAGCUCUUUUAACAGGGACGAUAAUGACGGUACCUGUAGAAUAAGCCCCGGCUAACUUCGUGCCAGCCGCCGCCGUAACAC